rnacentral:rRNA from 1 species
UAGGGAAUAUUGGGCAAUGGGCGAAAGCCUGACCCAGCAACGCCGCGUGCGUGAUGAAGGUCUUCGGAUCGUAAAGCGCUUUUCUGGGAGAUGAGAAAGGACAGUAUCCCAGGAAUAAGUCUCGGCUAACUACGUGCCAGCAGCCGCGGUAAAACGUAGGAGGCAAGCGUUAUCCGGAUUCACUGGGCGUAAAGCGCGUGCAGGUGGCGCGGUAAGUUGGGCGUGAAAUCUCCCGGCUCAACUGGGAGAGGUCGUCCAAUACUACCGUGCUUGAGAGCAGAAGAGGAAGAUGGAAUUCCCGGUGUAGUGGUGAAAUGCGUAGAUAUCGGGAGGAACACCAGUGGCGAAGGCGAUCUUCUGGUCUGUUUCUGACACUCAGACGCGACAGCUAGGGUAGUAAACGGGAUUAGAGACCCCGGUAAUCCUAGCCGUAAACGAUGUGAACUUGGCGUUGGUGGGUUAAACUCCGAUCAGUGCCGCAGCAAACGCGAUAAGUU